UCAGGAUGAACGCUAGCUACAGGCUUAACACAUGCAAGUCGAGGGGCAGCAUUGGGAUAGCUUGCUAUUCAGAUGGCGACCGGCGCACGGGUGAGUAACGCGUAUCCAACCUUCCUGCCAGUAGGGAACAGCCCGGCGAAAGUCGGAGUAAUGCCCUAUGUUCUUCAAUGCGGACAUCUAAGUUGAAGGAAAGAUUCAUCGCUGGCAGAUGGGGAUGCGUCCGAUUAGCUUGCCGGCGGGGUAACGGCCCACCGGGGCGACGAUCGGUAGGGGUUCUGAGAGGAAGGUCCCCCACACUGGUACUGAGACACGGACCAGACUCCUACGGGAGGCAGCAGUGAGGAAUAUUGGUCAAUGGGCGUAAGCCUGAACCAGCCAAGUAGCGUGCCAGGAUGACGGCCCUACGGGUUGUAAACUGCUUUUAUGCGGGGAUAAAGUGCGGCACGUGUGCCGCUUUGCAGGUACCGCAUGAAUAAGGACCGGCUAAUUCCGUGCCAGCCGCGGC
rnacentral:rRNA from 1 species